AUGCAAAUGGCAGCGCCCAUGAAAUUUCAGGAAGCAAUUCCGGUUUGGUCGAUUUGAACAAUUUAGCAGGGGAAGAGGUGACUACCGAAGGACUUCCGGUUACCAGAGGUCAUGGAGGCAAAAGCCGUAUACAAGGGGCCCUGGUUCAGGUUGGACUCUGGGACAAAAGAAGGACGGUUAUGGUCAGUUUGGACACCGUCAGAUGUCCAACCCAGUGAAGAAGAGCGUAUCUUCGUCUUCUAAUAACCCAAACUAGAGCAGCCAUCAGUGUCUGAGCUCCAGAUUGCCGAGACACAAAGAUUUGCUGACGCUUGUUCACAACCAAGAAAAUCAUCCGAUGGGGAAAAAUAUGCAACUAGUUGGAGCAAUUGUAUCAGGAUCAAUCUCCAAAAGAACGGAAUUCCGGAAGUGGCUAUUGACACGGUCUUACAGAGCUGGAAACCAGGAACUCGUAAACAAUAUUCAAGUGCAUGGACAAGAUGGGUUUUGUGGUGUACUUUGCGGGAUUGCGAUCCCCUUAGA